GGCAAUUAAAACAAUACCAGAGAUCAGAUGUGACUCUACGAGGGAAAAGUGGCCCCUGGCACCAUCUUUCCACCCUGAUGCAUCAAGUUUCAGGUGUACAAUGUAAUGAUUCGGCAGAAAGUAAAGGUUUUGGAUUUUCACACUUCUGAAUUUAAUCAGAGCAGCUGUAGAAGUGGAAAAACCUUGUGGCUUACAGACUCAAUAGAAUCUAGUUAAGGGGAGAGAAGAUUAAUCUCCAAGACUCCCUCUGAACCUAAGAGCCCCGAAAGUCACAUACACUAUCGGUCAUGUCAUCCAGAAAAGUGAGAGACUCUUUCCCAAACCUCACCAAAUGCUUUUCCCUAA